AGCGAAGCGGGAAGAGCUCAAAUUUAUAAUCUGGCACCUUCGGUGUCCGAGUUGUAAUCUCUAGAAAUGUUUUCCGCGUUGGACCGCACACAAGUCUGUUGGAAUACAGCGGCAUAGUGGUGAGACCCCCGUAUAUGGUGCGGACGCCCAGCGCUUUGUGAUACAUUUUCGAAGAGUCGAGUUGUUUGGGAAUGCAGCUCAAAUUGGGUGGUAAAUUCCAUCUAAAGCUAAAUAUUGGCGAGAGACCGAUAGCGAACAAGUACCGUGAGGGAAAGAUGAAAAGCACUUUGGAAAGAGAGUUAACAGUACGUGAAAUUGUUGGAAGGGAAACGCUUGAAGUCAGACUUGCUUGCUGAGCAAUCGGUUUGCAGGCCAGCAUCAGUUUUCCGGGAUGGAUAAUGGUAGAGAGAAGGUAGCAGUUUCGGCUGUGUUAUAGCUCUCUGCUGGAUACAUCUUGGGGGACUGAGGAACGCAGUGUGCCUUUGGCGGGGGUUUCGACCUCUUCACACUUAGGAUGCUGGUGGAAUGGCUUUAAACGACCCGUCU
rnacentral:rRNA from 1 species